GGUCGAGUAGCUCAGUUGGUUAGAGCACUGUCCCCGGAAGUGGCAGGGACCUGGGUUCAAUUCCCAGCUUGGUCA
rnacentral:tRNA from 2 species